rfam:Gossypium hirsutum cultivar TM-1 chromosome 2, whole genome shotgun sequence
CUUUUAAAAUUCCAUCCAUUUCAACUAUUAAAAAUUGGCAUAGCUAACAAAAUAACAAGACAAUUACUUAUGACAUGCCACGUGUACUUUAUCUUGACGUACAAGGACCAGUUUUUAAUAUAUAUGGAUGAACUUUUUAAAA